GGAUGUGAGGGUGAUCUGGCUGUGACAUCUGUCACCCCAUUGAUCGCCAAGGUUGAUUCGGCUGAUCUGGCUGGCUAGGCGGGUGUCCUCUUCCUCCCUCACCACUCCAUGUGCAUCCCUCCUGAAGCUGCACGCUCAGUCGAAGAGGACGACCUUCCCUGAUAGAGGAGGACCGUUCUUCAGUGAAGGGCAUAUGAAUAGCUGCACUCCCCUGCUAGAACCUCCAAACAAGCUCUCAAGGGAAUUAGGAUAUACAGCUAGUAGUGUUUGCCAUGAAUCGAAUGAGUUGACUCCCU
rnacentral:snRNA from 1 species